AUGAAUUCUUUGUCUGGACUCAUGGAAAGCCCCUCAGUUACUGUUAAUGCGACAGAACGGACUCAAAAUAAUUCAGAGCACCCUCUUGUAAUCGCCCUCCUGUUUUCACCACUUUUCUUGAGGCAGCUGGAACUUCACAAAAAAAAGGUAAGGAUAAAUCCUUUGAUUUACCACAUCCCAAGUGAUCUAGGCAGUAAGAGAUCUUGCUUAUGCAGGUGAUGAGACAGCAGUGUGUGUGGCAUUAAGUAUAGAAUGUCCCCAGAACAAGGAUAUCCAGGCUUUUUAAGUGAUGUACUAGUUCCUGCUCCUUCCUCUUGGAUAGGCCUCUUGGUGGCCUUUCUGGAGUGAGAUGUGAAAAAACAAUGAACAAAAUUGGCGGCUCUAAUUUCCAUAAAUACAACUGUGUGUACCAUGCUAAUCACAGCAAAUACAUAAGCCCAGACAAUAACUCUGUCAAUGGCAUGCAAGUAGGUGAGUAUGAGUAGGGAGGCAUCCCACCUCUGCUCUAGUGACUGAAUUUCAACCUAACAAUCUGAUUUCAGAGCCCCUGUUCUGACAGAGCACUAAUUUACAGGGGAUUGAUGAAGAAUUCUAUUUUGUGCUGUCCUUUACACUUUUUAGAUUCUUAUUUUUCUUUUUGAAUUCCAGGGGAACAAUUGAAGCCUUCUGAUACAACAGGAAGUGAAAUUUACCUGGUAUGUUCAAUGUACCUGUUAAAACUAAUGCAAUCUAUGUUACAACUUGCUAAUAUUCAUGUAGUUUUUUUUUUGUUUUGUUUUGUUUUUGUCUUUUUAGGGCCGUACCAUGGCAUAUGGAGGUUCCCAGGCUAGGGUCAAAUUGGAGAGGUAGCCACUGGCCUACACCAUAGCCACAGCAACCUUAGAUCUGAGCUCCAUCUGUGAACUAUACCCCAGCUCAUGGCAACGCUGUAUCAUUAACUCAUUGAGGAUCAUUAAUCCAUCCUCACAGAUGCUAGUCAGAUUCAUUUCCACUGAGCCAUGAUGGGAACUCCAAUAUUCAUGUAUUUUUAAAAAUUUAAUGAGUCUAUGUAACACUUACCAUGUGCCCUGCACUGUUCUAAACGCUGUAUGUAUUGACUUACUUUUGAAAUAUGGGUUUUUUUUCUAACCUUUAUCUUGAUCUGAAGUAACGAGUCUUCAGGAUUAACAAAUCACAUAUUAAGUAGUUCUUUGGAAGGGCAUGGAUGGCAGUGCAGAGCCUAAGCAGAAAAGUGAGAUGCUGAACUGUAUAACCUUGGCUCUGUUCUUGGCCUGGUAUGUGACUUCAAGCUGUUCACCUAUUCUCACAAAAAUGCCUUAAAGUCUGUCCAGAAGAGAGUUGGGAGUUAAUAAAAGAGUGAAUCAGGAGUUCUGUCA
rnacentral:lncRNA from 1 species